rnacentral:rRNA from 1 species
GACAGAGGAGCCAAGCGUUGUCCGGAUUGACUGGGCGUAAAGGGCGUGUAGGCGGCCUGUUAAGUCUGAUGUGAAAUCCCCUCGCUCAACGAGGGAACUGCGUCGGAAACUGGCAGGCUCGAGUACCGGAGAGGAAGGUGGAAUUCCCGGUGUAGCGGUGAAAUGCGUAGAUAUCGGGAAGAACACCCGUGGCGAAGGCGGUUCUCUGGGACGGUACUGACGCUGAGACGCGAAAGCGUGGGGAGCGAACAGG